GACGAACGCUGGCGGCGUGCUUAACACAUGCAAGUCGAACGGAAAGGCCCUGCUUUCAGGGUACUCGAGUUGCCAACGGGUGAGUAACUCGUGGGUGAUCUGCCCUGCACUUCGAGAUAAGCCUGUGCAACUGGGUCUAAUACCGGAUAGGAGCCAUUUUGAGUUGGAUGGUUGGAAAGUUUUUUCGGUGUAGGAUGAGCUCGCUGCCUAGCAGCUUGUUGGUGCGGUAAUGGACUACCAAGGCGGCGACGGGUAGCCGGCCUGAGAGGGUGGACGGCCACAUUGAGACUGAGAUACGGCCCAGACACCUACGCGAGGGAGAAGUGGGGAAGAUUGCACAAGGAGCGCAAGCCUGAUGCAGCGGCGCCGCGGAGGGGAGGACUGUCUUCGGGUUGUAAAAUCCUUUCGCUAGGGACGAAGCUUUUUGUGACGGUACCUAGAUAAGAAGCCCCGGCUAACUACGUG
rnacentral:rRNA from 1 species